ACGUACGCUGGCGGCACGCCUAACACAUGCAAGUCGAACGAAGUAGCAAUACUUAGUGGCAGACGGGUGAGUAACAUGUAGGUAUCUGCCCUUUGGCCUGGAAUAACACGAGGAAACUUGUGCUAAUACCGGAUAAGUCUUUACGGAGAAAGCUUUAUGCACCAUUGGAUGAGCCUGCACUUGAUUAGUUUGUGGUGGGUAAUGGCCUACCAAGACUGUGAUCAAUAGCUGAUUUGAGAGGAUGAUCAGCCACAUUGGGACUGAGACACGGCCCAAACUCCUACGGGAGGCAGCAGUGGGGAAUCUUGC
rnacentral:rRNA from 1 species